UACAGAGGUCUCGAGCGUUAGGCGGAAUCACUGGGCUUAAAGCGUGUGUAGGCGGAUUGCUAAGUACCUUGUGAAAUCCCGCGGCUUAACCGUGGAACUGCUUGGUAUACUGGCUGUCUUGAGCCACUUAGGGGCAACCGGAACAAACGGUGGAGCGGUGAAAUGCGUAGAUAUCGUUUGGAACGCCAAUGGUGAAAACAGGUUGCUGGGAAGAUACUGACGCUGAGGUGCGAAAGCGUGGGGAGCAAACAGG
rnacentral:rRNA from 1 species